GACGAACGCUGGCGGCGUGCCUAAUACAUGCAAGUCGAACGCAGUGGGGACGGGUGAGUAACACGUGGGUAACAGCCCAUCAGAGGGGAUAACACUUGGAUACAGGUGCUAAACCGAUACUGAUGGAUGAACCCGCGGUGCAUUAGCUAGUUGGUGAGGUAACGGCUCACCAAGGCCACGAUGCAGAGCCGACCUGAGAGGGUGACCAGCCACACUGUGACUGAGAAACGGCCCAGACUCCGACGGGAGGCAGCAGUGGGGAAUAUUCGGCAAUGGACGAAAGUCUGACCGAGCAACGCCGCGUGAGUGAAGAAGGUUUUCGGAUCGUAAAGCUCUGUUGUUAGAGAAGCGGUAUCUAACCAGAAAGCAACGGCUAACUACGUGCCAGCAGCCGCGGUAAUUC
rnacentral:rRNA from 1 species